GAAACGAUAAAGUUUGGAGUAUUCGUAUCUUGUUGGUUCUGAAGCAGGAAUCUGUAGCUGGUUGUCAUGCAAGUGGUUUCCUUUCAGAAGGAGAUGCAAGGUGUACUAGUGUGCCCACAGUUGGAUGGUACUCGUAAAUGUUCAGAGUUCAGACAUGCAAUUAUCAUAGUCAAUGCUAGACAGAAACCAAAGAUCUGUAGAGACUCAAUUGAUGAAAUUAUCCAUAACAUCAACCAUGUCCAUUAAGCUUAUUUUCAGCCUAAUGGAGUAUUUAAUUGAUGUUGUAAGCCAAGCACUUGUACUCCUUGUAUUCAUCCUUGAUGUUUGCCAUAGGGAGUACUUAUUUCCUUGUAUUCAUCCUUUAUGACAAUGGUGUAACAUAAUUGAACACUACUAAACUGAUACUGUUAUUGCCAUGCACCAGUAAGGCCACUACAUCAACAUCAGAUGACUCCUUGAGCUUUGCAUCAGGAAAUUCUGUACAUUCAUUGCUAUCAGAUUUCAACUGCUCAAGAUCUUUUUUGUUUUCAGUAUUGCAAGACUGUUCAGGCUUCUCUUUUGGUGAAGGUGGUCCCUGAUUAGCCUCGCCAUUAUCAAGCGGAGUUAGACUAGACUGGAAAACAUAACAGGCCUGAACAUUUGCAUCGUGUGCAGAUGCAAAGCUAAUGAGCAGGCUGAACCUAUUCCUGCAACUAAUCACGAGGAGGGAGUCGGUCAUUUUGUUCCAGAAGACUGCUAAACCUGGUAGUAGUCAGGCAACAUGUUGCAGAUCAAGCAAAUACUCCAGAGUAGGAAUGAUCAAACAAGCGUGGGGGCAAUGGAAUUCAGCCGGCAGCUGCGAUAGUUUCUAAUGGUGUUGGUUGACAGGCUUUUACAACUGUAGGUACUAAAACUCAAAACUGAGUACUCCUGAUGUUGUCAGCUUCUAAUGGAGUAGAUUGGAUAACCCUUUUACAACUCUAAACUACUGAUGUUGUCAGCUUUUAAAUUUUAAAAUGACUUGAUUUGCUUGAGACCUUACAGGAUAAUGCUUAAUGUUUGGAUUCCAACUCAAAAAGUUUUGACAACAUCCACUCUUCCUGAAUGACAAACUAUAAACAGAGACAUGCUUCUUAGUUCCAAGCUUUUAGGGCCUUUGCACCAGCCUUUGCACCACAAGCUAAAACAUGAGGCCCAAUAAACAGGGUGAUCGAGUACCAACCAGUGCCUGAGCUCACUGGUUUUUACUAUA